rnacentral:rRNA from 1 species
CACGUAGGGGACAAGCGUUGUCCGGAUUCAUUGGGCGUAAAGAGCUCAUAGGCGGUUCGAUAAGUCGGGUGUGAAACCUCCAGGCUCAACCUGGAGACGCCACCCGAUACUGUCGUGACUAGAGUCCAGUAGGGGAGCGUGGAAUUCCUGGUGUAGCGGUGAAAUGCGCAGAUAUCAGGAGGAACACCGAUGGCGAAGGCAGCUCGCUGGGACGGUACUGACGCUGAGGCGCGAAAGCGUGGGGAGCAAACAGG